rnacentral:rRNA from 1 species
AAGACCUUGCGCUUUUGGAGCGGCCGAUGUCUGAUUAGCUUGUUGGUGAGGUAAAAGCUUACCAAGGCUUCGAUCAGUAGCUGGUCUGAGAGGACGGCCAGCCACACUGGGACUGAGACACGGCCCAGACUCCUACGGGAGGCAGCAGUGGGGAAUUUUGGACAAUGGGGGCAACCCUGAUCCAGCUAUGCCGCGUGAGUGAAGAAGGCCUUCGGGUUGUAAAGCUCUUUCAGCCGGAACGAAACGGUUACGGUUAAUACCCGUGACUACUGACGGUACCGGAAGAAGAAGCACCGGCUAACUACGUGCCAGCAGCCGCGGUAAUACGUAGGGUGCAAGCGUUAAUCGGAAUUACUGGGCGUAAAGCGUGCGCAGGUGGUUUUGUAAGUCAGAUGUGAAMUCCCCGGGCUUAACCUGGGAACU